CAGUCGCCGCGGUAAUACGGAGGGUGCAAGCGUUAAUCGGAAUUACUGGGCGUAAAGCGUGCGUAGGCGGUUCGUUAAGACAGAUGUGAAAUCCCGGGGCUUAACCUGGGAACUGCAUUUGUGACUGGCGAGCUAGAGUAUGGCAGAGGGGGGUAGAAUUCCACGUGUAGCAGUGAAAUGCGUAGAGAUGUGGAGGAAUACCGAUGGCGAAGGCAGCCCCCUGGGCCAAUACUGACGCUCAUGCACGAAAGCGUGGGGAGCAAACAGGAUUAGAUACCCCUGUAGUCCCUGUCUCUUAUAC
rnacentral:rRNA from 1 species